GGCCUUAGCUCAGGGGUUAAGAGCACUAGACAUGUAAUCCAGACAUGUAAUCCAGACAUAGUGGUUGCUGGUUCAAGUCCAGCUCAGGUCA